rnacentral:rRNA from 1 species
CAAAGGAGGCGACUCCGGAGACGGAUGGGCAUGCGUGACAUUAGCUUGUUGGCGGGGUAACGGCCCACCAAGGCGACGAUGUCUAGGGGUUCUGAGAGGAAGGUCCCCCACACUGGUACUGAGACACGGACCAGACUCCUACGGGAGGCAGCAGUGAGGAAUAUUGGUCAAUGGGCGAGAGCCUGAACCAGCCAAGUCGCGUGAAGGAUGACGGCCCUACGGGUUGUAAACUUCUUUUGUCAGGGAGCAAUUGAGUCCACGUGUGGGCUUAGCGAGAGUACCUGAAGAAAAAGCAUCGGCUAACUCCGUGCCAGCAGCCGCGGUAAUACGGAGGAUGCGAGCGUUAUCCGGAUUUAUUGGGUUUAAAGGGUGCGUAGGCGGAAUAUCAAGUCAGCGGUAAAAAUUCGGGGCUCAACCCCGUCGUGCCGUUGAAACUGAUGUUCUUGAGUGGGCGAGAAGUAUGCGGAAUGCGUGGUGUAGCGGUGAAAUGCAUAGAUAUCACGCAGAACUCCGAUUGCGAAGGCAGCAUACCGGCGCCCAACUGACGCUGAAGCACGAAAGCGUGGGUAUCGAACAGGAUUAGAUACCCUGGUAGCCCACGCAGUAAACGAUGAAUGCUAAUUGUCCGG